UACGUAGGGCGCAAGCGUUGUCCGGAAUUAUUGGGCGUAAAGAGCUCGUAGGCGGCCUGUUGCGUCCGCUGUGAAAUCCCGGGGCUCAACCCCGGGCCUGCAGUGGAUACGGGCUGGCUAGAGGCAGGCAGGGGAGAACGGAAUUCCUGGUGUAGCGGUGAAAAUGCGCAGAUAUCAGGAGGAACACCGGUGGCGAAGGCGGUUCUCUGGGCCUGUACUGACGCUGAGGAGCGAAAGCGUGGGGAGCAAACAGG
rnacentral:rRNA from 1 species